rnacentral:rRNA from 1 species
CUUCGGGGAACGAUAACGGCGUCGAGCGGCGGACGGGUGAGUAAUGCCUAGGAAAUUGCCUUGAUGUGGGGGAUAACCAUUGGAAACGAUGGCUAAUACCGCAUAAUGCCUACGGGCCAAAGAGGGGGACCUUCGGGCCUCUCGCGUCAAGAUAUGCCUAGGUGGGAUUAGCUAGUUGGUGAGGUAAUGGCUCACCAAGGCGACGAUCCCUAGCUGGUCUGAGAGGAUGAUCAGCCACACUGGAACUGAGACACGGUCCAGACUCCUACGGGAGGCAGCAGUGGGGAAUAUUGCACAAUGGGCGCAAGCCUGAUGCAGCCAUGCCGCGUGUAUGAAGAAGGCCUUCGGGUUGUAAAGUACUUUCAGCAGUGAGGAAGGGGGUGUCGUUAAUAGCGGCAUCUCUUGACGUUAGCUGCAGAAGAAGCACCGGCUAACUCCGUGCCAGCAGCCGCGGUAAUACGGAGGGUGCGAGCGUUAAUCGGAAUUACUGGGCGUAAAG